rnacentral:rRNA from 1 species
CCUACGGGUGGCAGCAGUGGGGAAUAUUGCACAAUGGGGGAAACCCUGAUGCAGCGACGCCGCGUGAGUGAAGAAGUAUUUCGGUACGUAAAGCUCUAUCAGCAGGGAAGAAAAAAAGUCCUUUGGACUUUGGACGGUACCUGACCAAGAAGCCCCGGCUAACUACGUGCCAGCAGCCGCGGUAAUACGUAGGGGGCAAGCGUUAUCCGGAUUUACUGGGUGGAAAGGGAGCGUAGACGGCAGCGCAAGUCUGGAGUGAAAUGCCGGGGCCCAACCCCGGAACUGCUUUGGAAACUGUGCAGCUGGAGGGCAGGAGAGGUAAGCGGAAUUCCGAGUGUAGCGGUGAAAUGCGUAGAUAGUAGGAGGAACACCAGUGGCGAAGGCGGCUUACUGGACUGUAACUGACGUUGAGGCUCGAAAGCGUGGGGAGCAAACAGGAUUAGAUACCCCUGUAGUC